AGUGAACGCUGGCGGCAGGCCUAACACAUGCAAGUCGAACGGCAGCACAAGAGAGCUUGCUCUCUGGGUGGCGAGUGGCGGACGGGUGAGGAAUGCAUCGGAAUCUGCCCAUUUGUGGGGGAUAACCUCGGGAAACCGGGACUAAUACCGCAUACGACCUACGGGUGAAAGCAGGGGAUCUUCGGACCUUGCGCAGAUGGAUGAGCCGAUGCCGGAUUAGCUAGUUGGAGGGGUAAAGGCCCCCCAAGGCGACGAUCCGUAGCUGGUCUGAGAGGAUGAUCAGCCACACGGGGACUGGGACAGGGCCCAGACUCCUACGGGAGGCAGCAGUGGGGAAUAUUGGACAAUGGGCGCAAGCCUGAUCCAGCCAUGCCGCGUGUGUGAAGAAGGCCUUCGGGUUGUAAAGCACUUUUGUUGGGAAAGAAAAGCAGCCGGUUAAUACCCGGUUGUCAUGACGGUACCCAAAGAAUAAGCACCGGCUAACUUCGUG
rnacentral:rRNA from 1 species